AGCUGUGAGUAUCGCAUGAUACAAGCAGAAAAGGAGCAAUCCGCUGAUAGAUGAGCUUGCGUCUGAUUAGUUAGUUGGCGAGGUAACGGCCCACCAAGACGAUGAUCAGUAGCCGGACUGAGAGGUUGAACGGCCACAUUGGGACUGAGAUACGGCCCAGACUCCUACGGGAGGCAGCAGUCGGGAAUAUUGCGCAAUGGAGGAAACUCUGACGCAGUGACGCCGCGUGCAGGAAGAAGGUUUUCGGAUUGUAAACUGCUUUAGACAGGGAAGAAAAAGGACAGUACCUGUAGAAUAAGUUCCGGCUAACUACGUGCCAGCAGCCGCGGUAAUACGUAGGGAGCAAGCGUUAUCCGGAUUUAUUGGGUGUAAAGGGUGCGUAGACGGGAAAUUAAGUUAGCUGUGAAAUCCCUCGGCUUAACUGAGGAACUGCAACUAAAACUGAUUUUCUUGAGUGCUGGAGAGGAAAGUGGAAUUCCUAGUGUAGCGGUGAAAUGCGUAGAUAUUAGGAGGAACACCAGUGGCGAAGGCGACUUUCUGGACAGUAACUGACGUUGAGGCACGAAAGUGUGGGGAGCAAACAGGAUUAGAUACCCUGGUAGUCCACACCGUAAACGAUGGAUACUAGGUGUAGGGGAUGAAUAAUCUUCUGUGCCGUCGCAAACGCAGUAA
rnacentral:rRNA from 1 species